GGACGAGCGCUGGCGGCGUGCUUAACACAUGCAAGUCGAGCGGUAAGGCCCUUUCGGGGGUACACGAGCGGCGAACGGGUGAGUAACACGUGGGUGACCUGCCCUCAGCUCUGGGAUAAGCCUGGGAAACUGGGUCUAAUACCGGAUAUGACUCCAUGACGCAUGUUGUGGGGUGGAAAGCCUUGUGCGGCUGAGGAUGGGCCCGCGGCCUAUCAGCUUGUUGGUGGGGUGAUGGCCUACCAAGGCGACGACGGGUAGCCGGCCUGAGAGGGCGACCGGCCACACUGGGACUGAGACACGGCCCAGACUCCUACGGGAGGCAGCAGUGGGGAAUCUUGCGCAAUGGGCGAAAGCCUGACGCAGCGACGCCGCGUGAGGGAUGACGGCCU
rnacentral:rRNA from 1 species